CCUUAUCAUUUAGAGGAAGGAGAAGUCGUAACAAGGUUUCCGUAGGUGAACCUGCGGAAGGAUCAUUGUCGAAACCUGCCUAGCAGAACGACCCGCGAACCCGUGGCAUGACAAGCUGGGCUCGGGGGGCACCCGCCCCUCGCGUCCUCGCGGGCCGUGGAGGGACGCGUCUGCGCCCUGCGCGGCUCGCAAACGAACCCCGGCGCGAGAAGCGCCAAGGAAAUUGAGUACUAGGAGCGCGCCCCCGUAGCCUCGGCGUCGGGGGCGCGCCUUCUUCUGGUGAUAAUCUAAACGACUCUCGGCAACGGAUAUCUCGGCUCUCGCAUCGAUGAAGAACGUAGCGAAAUGCGAUACUUGGUGUGAAUUGCAGAAUCCCGUGAACCAUCGAGUCUUUGAACGCAAGUUGCGCCCGAGGCCUCCUGGUCGAGGGCACGUCUGCCUGGGUGUCACGCAUCGUCGCCCCCUCUCCCCUCGGCUCGCGAGGGCGGGGGCGGAUACUGGUCUCCCGCGCGCUCCCGCUCGCGGUUGGCCCAAAAUCGAGUCCUCGGCGACGGUCGCCACGACGAGCGGUGGUUGAGAGACCCUCGGACACGGUCGUGCGCGCGCCUGUCGCCCCCGGGAUCUCCUGGACCCUCGGGCAUCGAAUUUCUAGGAUGCUCUCGUUGCGACCCCAGGUCAGGCGGGACUACCCGCUGAGUUUAAGCAUAUCAAUA
rnacentral:misc_RNA from 1 species